CCUGUCCCAGUGAGGCUGCUAUGUCACACGUGCGUCAGUAGGUGGCAGAGAGAAGAGGGGCUGGGCGUCUACACUCGGUGUAGCCUAACAUU
ensembl:snoRNA LOC120096119 small nucleolar RNA SNORA17